AUAGCUGACGAGUCCCAAAUAGGAUGAAACUUGCGUCCUGGAU
rfam:Schistosoma mattheei strain Denwood, Zambia genome assembly, scaffold: SMTD_scaffold0015676